CCUACGGGAGGCUGCAGUGGGGAAUAUUGCACAAUGGGGGAAACCCUGAUGCAGCGACGCCGCGUGAGUGAAGAAGUAUUUCGGUAUGUAAAGCUCUAUCAGCAGGGAAGAAAAUGACGGUACCUGAUUAAGAAGCCCCGGCUAACUACGUGCCAGCAGCCGCGGUAAUACGGAAGGUCCGGGCGUUAGCCGGAUUUAUUGGGUUUAAAGGGAGCGUAGGCCGCAUGUCAAGCGUGAUGUGAAAUGUCCGGGCUCAACCCGGGCCUUGCAGCGCAAACUGGCGUUCUUGAGUCCGGGGAAGGCAGGCGGAAUUCGUCGUGUAGCGGUGAAAUGCUUAGAGAUGACGAAGAACACCGAUUGCGAAGGCGGCUUGCUGCAGCGUAACUGACGCUGAUGCUCGAAAGCGCGGGUAGCGAACAGGAUUAGAUACCCUAGUAGUC
rnacentral:rRNA from 1 species